rnacentral:rRNA from 1 species
GUAGGAUCCGAGCGUUAUCCGAAUUUACUGGGCGUAAAGCGCGUGUAGGCGGCCGGGUAAGUUGGACGUGAAAGCUCCUGGCUCAACUAGGAGAGGUCGUUCAAAACAGCCUGGCUAGAGGGCGACAGAGGGAGGUGGAAUUCCCGGUGUAGUGGUGAAAUGCGUAGAUAUCGGGAGGAACACCAGUGGCGAAGGCGGCCUCCUGGGUCGCCCCUGACGCUCAGACGCGAAAGCUAGGGGAGCAAACGGGAUUAGAUACCCCGGGUAGUCCUAGCUGUAAACGAUGUGGACUUGGCGUUGGUGGGGUCAAAUCCCAUCAGUGCCGGAGCUAACGCGAUAAGUCCACCGCCUGGGGGCUACGACCGCAAGGUUA